UGCAUGCGUAAGACCCUUCAGAUGUCCCUCACUGCAUUUAGUAAGUGCAUCCUUCAGAGGCUGCAACUGACAUCCACAACAUGGAAGCUGUGGAUGGCACAGUGGGGCAGGAUCAUGUGGGUGAGACAGAUGCUAUGUGCAGGGCAUGGGCUGUGCCACCUCAGACCUCUUGGGCAGUGCUCCUUGGGAAGACUGUCCAUAGGUGAGGUGCCAAGCUCCCCUGUCACCAGGUCAGAACUGGUAAGUGAGCCCUGAAGGUCACACAGAGUUCUUCCUCGAUCUCUCUGCACUGUUUUGCAACCUGGAACAUCUUUCAGAGACCUCCAGUCUGGAAAGCCCUCCCCGGCUGGGGUGUUUUCCUUUUGCUCUGAGGCUCUCCUGGUGUUUGCUUACAGUGUGUGGAGCUGACCUCGAGUGGCAGCAUUCAGAGAAAGGCAAAGAGUUGCUUGAACAAGAAUCCAUUACUCUUGAUGAACCUGUCUCACCAAAGACUGUGCUAACAGUAGUGUCACCAGUUCAGCAAAUUGUGAAGGCACUUCACUUUCAAAGAGUUGUGCUGGUGGCAAAUGUUGGGUGAAAGCCUGGAAGGAGGAGUUGGAAGUGCAAUCUUUCUCUGGAACAGGGACAAGCCCACAGUUCUGAGGAACACUGAAGCUGUGCCACUGUGCUGUUUGCACAUUUCUCUACAGUAGUCACCACAUUACGCCUAAUGUUCACUGAGGGGAUGGCCAUUUGCUAGCUGCUCAGGUUGUGCUGAAGCCGUGGAGGAUGGGGGGAAGGGGAGUAAGAAGGAGCUCAGCAUCCCGGAGGAGGCGAGUGAAGGGCAAAAUGGAAGAGGGAUGAAUGGCGCCGCUGCCCUCAACUCCACCUUCUCCCGCCUACCGCUGGCUUCUGCCAGGCAGCCUCCCCCAGCAUCCCCCUCGCCCUCAGUCAGCCAAAGGGCAGCCACAGCGGAAGCAUUUUAAAAGCAAACCAAGUAUCACAUGGUGAAGGUAAAUAAACAGCACGCUGAAAAAUC